UAUAGACUGUAACUAGGGUCUUCUGAGUCGUUGUUAUAGACUGUAACUAGGGUCUUCUCUGAGUCGUUGUUAGACUGUAAAAAGGGGUCUUUGAGUUGUUGUUAUAGGCUGUAACUAGGGUCUUUGAGUCGUUGUUAUAGGCUGUAACUAGGGUCUUUGAGUCGUUGUUAUAGACUGUAACUAGGGUCUUUGAGUCUUUGUUAUAGGCUGUAACUAGGGUCUUUGAGUCAUUGUUAUAGACUGUAACUAGGGUCUUUGAGUCGUUGUUAUAGGCUGUAACUAGGGUCUUUGAGUCGUUGUUAUAGACUGUAACUAGGGUCUUUGAGUCGUUGUUAUAGGCUGUAACUAGGGUCUUUGAGUCGUUGUUAUAGACUGUAACUAGGGUCUUUGAGUCGUUGUUAUAGACUGUAACUAGGGUCUUUGAGUCGUUGUUAUAGACUGUAACUAGGGUCUUUGAGUCGUUGUUAUAGGCUGUAACUAGGGUCUUUGAGUCGUUGUUAUAGACUGUAACUAGGGUCUUUGAGUCGUUGUUAUAGGCUGUAACUAGGGUCUUUGAGUCGUUGUUAUAGACUGUAACUAGGGUCUUUGAGUCUUUGUUAUAGGCUGUAACUAGGGUCUUCUCUGAAUCGUCGUUAUAGACUGUAACUAGGACCAUGAGUUUUUCCUGGUAAAGUCACAUGGUCAGGAAACUCCUGGUCCUACACGUGUAUGAUGCAGAGUGAGGGGAACAGUCUCCUGUUGUCAUUGAGGAGCCAGUGCUUUAAGCCUUGGGCUGGUGACAGUACAGCGAUACAUAUCCCUCAUACUGUUGUGGUAAUUGUUAUUUUUACAUGGCUGCGUCGUCAUACAGGUAUUACUGUCAGAAAAUAGAUUUCAAAAUGCCCUCAGUGCCUUUUCAAUUCCAAAUAAUAGAUGUCAUUUUGGGGUGUUUUUUAUAUACAGAUGUUUAAAGAGUGAUUUAAAAUAAAUAGUAUUUAUGCACAUUAGAAAGAUAAGAAGUGUACCACCCCACCCACUCAUCCACACAUGGUCGUUGUCCUGAGCAGAGAACACUAAAUCAGUUUCUACUGCCCAUGUCAAGUGUUUAGGAAAAACUCCUGGUCCUAGUUAUGUGCCAUGUCUCUGUGCCUUGGACACUAUUCCCUUUUAUUUAUUGGAGACUGUCCACUAGCACAUGCUUUUAAACUGGAAGGACAACCGUGACAAUUAAGGCCCUGAGUUUUUCCAGACCAUGUGACCUGACCAGGAUAAACCUCCAUAGCCUAUAACCAGGGACCUGAGUUUUUCCUGGUCAGGCCAAAUAGUCUGGAAAACUCCUUGUCCUAUUACUGAUGUGCUGGCUGGUGCCAAUCACCACAGCAGAAGACAUUUCAUUGUUAUCAAGUCUCUUUAUAUCAGACUGUGCACCCUGAAACUAAAGUCCUCCUUAAAAACUCUAAGUUCUCUCUCUUUCUCCCACUUUCUUUUCUCUUCUUCUCUUCUGCCGUUUCUUGGAUAUCAACCAGUAACAGUAAUAUGUGGUGUUUAAAGGUUUUAUGUGUUUCAGUUUCAAACUAUAAUCCUCAACUUCCAGACAUCAUCGUCGUCAUGCUCUGUCCUGUAUAUUCAUUGUCAGAUACAUGUUUGUACUGGUAUUAAUAAUAACAGAAUUUACCUUUUGAUAUCGUGUUAUUUUCAAGAAAUAAAGAUGAAAGUUGUAUAUAGUCA
ensembl:lncRNA